rnacentral:tRNA from 1 species
GCUUAAGUAGUUUAAUUAAAAUAUCGAUUUGUGGUGUCGGUGAUAUAAGUGAUUAUCUUGGGUU